CACGUAGGGAGCAAGCGUUGUCCGGAUUUAUUGGGCGUAAAGAGCUCGUAGGCGGUUCAGUAAGUCAGGUGUGAAACCUCCAGGCUCAACCUGGAGACGCCACCUGAUACUGCUGUGACUGGAGUCCGGUAGGGGAGCGUGGAAUUCCUGGUGUAGCGGUGGAAUGCGCAGAUAUCAGGAGGAACACCAAUAGCGAAGGCAGCUCGCUGGGACGUUACUGACACUGAGGCGCGAAAGCGUGGGGAGCGAACAGG
rnacentral:rRNA from 1 species